rnacentral:rRNA from 1 species
UACGUAGGUGGCGAGCGUUGUCCGGAAUUACUGGGUGUAAAGGGAGCGUAGGCGGGAAGGCAAGUUGAAUGUUAAAUCUAUCGGCUCAACCGGUAGCUGCGUUCAAAACUGUUUUUCUUGAGUGAAGUAGAGGCAGGCGGAAUUCCUAGUGUAGCGGUGAAAUGCGUAGAUAUUAGGAGGAACACCAGUGGCGAAGGCGGCCUGCUGGGCUUUUACUGACGCUGAGGCUCGAAAGUGUGGGGAGCAAACAGG